rnacentral:rRNA from 1 species
GAUGUAGGGUGCAAGCGUUGUCCGGAUUUAUUGGGCGUAAAGAGCUCGUAGGCGGCUUGUUGCGUCGACUGUGAAAACCCGCGGCUUAACCGCGGGCUUGCAGUUGAUACGGGCAGGCUAGAGUUCGGUAGGGGAGACUGGAAUUCCUGGUGUAGCGGUGAAAUGCGCAGAUAUCAGGAGGAACACCGGUGGCGAAGGCGGGUCUCUGGGCCGAUACUGACGCUGAGGAGCGAAAGCGUGGGGAGCGAACAGG